AUUAGACGAAUCAUCUGGAAAGAUGAAUCAAAGAAGGUAAUAAUCCUGUAGUCGAAAAUGUUGUCUCUCUUGAGUGGAUCCUGAGUACGACGGAGCACGUGAAAUUCCGUCGGAAUCUGGGAGGACCAUCUCCUAAGGCUAAAUACUCUCUAGUGACCGAUAGUGAACCAGUACCGUGAGGGAAAGGUGAAAAGCACCCCGGAAGGGGAGUGAAAUAGAACCUGAAACCGUGUGCUUACAAGUAGUCAGAGCCCGUUAAUGGGUGAUGGCGUGCCUUUUGUAGAAUGAACCGGCGAGUUACGAUUUGAUGCAAGGUUAAGCAGUAAAUGUGGAGCCGUAGCGAAAGCGAGUCUGAAUAGGGCGUUUAGUAUUUGGUCGUAGACCCGAAACCAGGUGAUCUACCCUUGGUCAGGUUGAAGUUCAGGUAACACUGAAUGGAGGACCGAACCGACUUACGUUGAAAAGUGAGCGGAUGAACUGAGGGUAGCGGAGAAAUUCCAAUCGAACCUGGAGAUAGCUGGUUCUCUCCGAAAUAGCUUUAGGGCUAGCCUCAAGUGAUGAUUAUUGGAGGUAGAGCACUGUUUGGACGAGGGGCCCCUCUCGGGUUACCGAAUUCAGACAAACUCCGAAUGCCAAUUAAUUUAACUUGGGAGUCAGAACAUGGGUGAUAAGGUCCGUGUUCGAAAGGGAAACAGCCCAGACCACCAGCUAAGGUCCCAAAAUAUAUGUUAAG
rnacentral:rRNA from 1 species